UACGGAGGAUCCAAGCGUUAUCCGGAAUUACUGGGCGUAAAGAGUUGCGUAGGUGGCAUAGUAAGUAGAUAGUGAAAGCGUGUGGCUCAACCAUACAUCCAUUAUCUAAACUGCUAAGCUAGAGUAUGAGAGAGGUAGAUGGAAUUCCCUGUGUAGGAGUGAAAUCCGUAGAUAUAGGGAGGAACACCGAUGGCGUAGGCAGUCUACUGGCUCAUUACUGACACUAAGGCACGAAAGCGUGGGGAGCAAACGGG
rnacentral:rRNA from 1 species